rnacentral:rRNA from 1 species
CAUGGAGGGUGAGAAUCCCGUCCGGUUGAUCAUUUGCGUUUUACGAUACGCUUUCUAAGAGUCAAGUUGUUUGGGAUUGCAGCUUAAAAUGGGAGGUAAAUUUCUCCUAAGGCUAAAUAACGGCGAGAGACCGAUAGCGAACAAGUACCGUGAGGGAAAGAUGAAAAGAACUUUGAAAAGAGAGUUAAACAGUACGUGAAAUUGUUGAAAGGGAAACGAUUGAAGCCAGUCGUACCUUCGGGUAAUCAGCCUUUCGGGUGCGAUUCUGUGGAGUGUGAGGAGCUUAACACCUUCAUGCUUUGCAUAUUUGUGCUCUUGGGUGUACUUGCCCGUGUGGUUGGUUAACAUCAAUUUUGGUUAUCAUAAAAUGAUUGGAGGAAUGUAGCUUCGAUCUCGUAUUGAAGUGUUAUAGCCUUCGGUAGAUGUGAUGAACGAGAUUGAGGAUUGCAACGGAUACCCUUUGGGGCUACCUGUCUGGUCUCUGAUCGUUGCUCUGGUGCCGAAAGCUUGCUUACGGUUAUCAAAGUCGAUGGUCAAUAGGUUAGAACGGGUUAAAUUCGUUAAGGAUGUUGACGUA